GACGAACGCUGGCGGCGUGCUUAACACAUGCAAGUCGAACGGAAAGGCCCUGCUUUUGUGGGGUGCUCGAGUGGCGAACGGGUGAGUAACACGUGAGUAACCUGCCCUUUACUUUGGGAUAACUUCAGGAAACUGGGGCUAAUACCGGAUAGGAGCUCCUGCUGCAUUGUGGGGGUUGGAAAGUUUCGGCGGUUGGGGAUGGACUCGCGGCUUAUCAGCUUGUUGGUGGGGUAGUGGCUUACCAAGGCUUUGACGGGUAGCCGGCCUGAGAGGGUGACCGGCCACAUUGGGACUGAGAUACGGCCCAGACUCCUACGGGAGGCAGCAGUGGGGAAUAUUGCACAAUGGGCGGAAGCCUGAUGCAGCAACGCCGCGUGCGGGAUGACGGCCUUCGGGUUGUAAACCGCUUUCGCCUGUGACGAAGCGUGAGUGACGGUAAUGGGUAAAGAAGCACCGGCUAACUACGUG
rnacentral:rRNA from 1 species